AUGUCCUUCAAUACGUGAACGUAUUUUAGAAACAGUGGUUUAUCAAUACAAUGGAAUAUUAUUCAAUGAUAAGAAGAAAUGAGUUAUCAAGUCGUGAAAAGCCAUGAAUGAAUCUUAAGCAUAUUGCUGAGUGUAAGAAGCCAGUCUGAAAAAGCUACUUCUUGUAUGAUUCCAAUGAUACAAAUUCUGGAAAAGGUAAAACUAUAGUACAGUUAAGUAAAUUAAUGGGAGAUGGUGGGAGCCAGGUUUCUCACUGAGGGAGAGGUAGGUC
rnacentral:lncRNA from 1 species